UUCUUGGUUGUUUUGUUGUUCAAGAGAUUUCACACAUAACAUGGCGAUGCUGAUAAACUUUAGGAUGAUUAUGUUGUUUCAAUCACCAUUCUCAAAUUAACAAAUAGACAAAUAAAUACAAUAACAAUUGGGCCUUAGUCUCAAACAAGUUGGGUUGGUAUAUAAACUCAUCACAAACCAAUAUUAUUCAAAGUAAUAAUAAUACUAACUAUCAGAAGUUCAUUGUAUUUUCUACUGGCGUAUAAAUUUCUGAGAGGCUAAAUACUUAGAAAAGCAUAUGACGUAAAGUAAAAUUGCCAACAUGAUUAAAACAUACUUUCAACUAAGGUAUCACCUGUACAGAUCUUUUUCUUCCAUUGCACCUUAUGUUUCACUAAAUCUGCAUGGAUCCCAAGAGAUUGUAUAUACUUUGAGAUAACUCAUCCUCUUGUAACACCUUUAUUCACCAUGGUUUCACAUUUAUGGACUUAUGCAUUUUGUGGUUGACGUGGGUCAUGACCAAACCAAUUCAAGCGACCUUCUCUAAUUUAUCAUUGACGUGUCUAACUUGAACCUUCUUGCCAACGUGAUCGCUUCUAAUCUUGUCUAGUCUUGUAUAACUGCACAUCCAUCUUACAUUGUAUUCUUUGAGCAUGCACUCAUUGAUGAACAUUGAUUUUAGUUAGCAGUUAACACAUAUUCACAAGGGUUGUAGCAGUCAUUUCUUAUUCAAGGAAGGGGCUCCACUACAAUCAGUAUUCAGGGGCGGAUGCAGUGUAUACUAUGUGGGUUGCCAGAAACCCAAUAACUUUUGUCCAAACCCAGUAUUUUAUUGAGAAUCCGUUAAAUAUAUAAGAAACUGUUAGUUGGGAACCCAUUACUAAAAGGAGCAGUUGAUACAUCAGCAAAGCUCGAAGAAGCAGAAGCUUAACUGCCCUCUUUGAUGAGGGUUCAAUUCCCCUGGAGCACUAUAAGUGCCUUCUAUUCUCAACAAAAACAAUACCGACCUUUAUUUUCUCUCUCUCUCUUUCGAUUUAUUUUGAAAAUGAUGAUGCAUCUGAUUAGCUGCAAUAAACUACUGAUGAUGCCUUGUAUGACUUUUACUACAAAGGAAUUUAAAGAGAGAAACAAAGGAUCGGUAGCUUUUGUAAAAUAUUACUGAGAUACUGUAUAGUGAAUUCAUAACAUGUAGGACUCUUGAGCUUCUAUUAUGAACUUUAUCAAAAUAAAAAUGUAUCCUGUUUGCUCUUU